rnacentral:tRNA from 1 species
GGAGGGAUAGCCUAACUGGUAAGGCAGUAGUCUCGAAAACUACCGUCCGCAAGGACUUGGGGGUUCGAUUCCCUCUCCCUCCG